rnacentral:rRNA from 1 species
AUACGGAGGACGCGAGCGUUAUCCGGAUUCAUUGGGUUUAAAGGGUGCGCAGGCGGCCGUGCAAGUCAGCGGUGAAAGCCCGGGGCCCAACCCCGGAAGUGCCGUUGAUACUGCAUGGCUUGAAUGCGGUCGAGGCGGGCGGAACGGGGCGUGUAGCGGUGAAAUGCGGGGAUAUGCCACAGAACACCGAUAGCGGAGGCAGCUCGCCAGGCCUGCAUUGACGCUCGGGCACGAAAGCGUGGGGAUCGAACAGGAUUAGAUACCCUGGUAGUCCACGCCGUAAACGAUGGGCGCUCGUCGUCGGCGGCAGACAGUCGGCGGCCAAGCGAAAGCGAUAAGCGCCCCACCUGGGGAGUACGGUCGCAAGGCUGAAACUUAAAGGAAUUGGCGGGG